GGAGGAGUAAGGGGCGGGUAAGACGGGUGCCAGCCGCCGCGGUAAUACCCGCGCCCCUAGUGGUGGUCGAUAUUAUUGAGCCUAAAACGUCCGUAGCCGGUCUUUUAAAUCUUUGGGCAAAUCGGGCAGCUUAACUGUCCGACUUCCGAGGAGACUGGAAGACUUGGGACCGGGAGAGGUCAGAGGUACUUCUGGGGUAGGGGUAAAAUCCUGUAAUCCUGGAAGGACCACCGGUGGCGAAGGCGUCUGACUAGAACGGAUCCGACGGUGAGGGACGAAGCCCUGGGGCGCAAACGGGAUUAGAUACCCGUGUAGUCCC
rnacentral:rRNA from 1 species